UUAGGUGAUAAUGGCGGUGGGGUUCACCUCUUCCCAUUCCGAACAGAGAAGUUAAGACCACCAGCGCUGAUGGUACUGCCAACAGGUGGAAGAGUAAGUCGUUGCCUAAU
rnacentral:rRNA from 1 species